AAAAGUAUUGAUUAAGAUACAGAACCCGACUGAGCAACAAGUGAUUACAAGUGUGUCCUGCAGUGUAUAUUUCUACUUCAGUUUAUCCCAGAGAUGUUUUCCUUUUUGCAUUUUAUUUCUUUUUCCAGUUUCUUUGAGAUUGUCACUUGUUCUCACAUAUAUUUACUCUGUGCAGUUGCAGAAGAUAGAGUUGGUUGAAGAACAUGCAUAAUUGCAUAUGCUGUUUCAGAACUUGUAGCAUUUAAUUCUGGUCCAUAUACCCUUUACUUGCAAGCAUGAGGACCUAUCACCAAAUGGCGGCAGUUAUUUUCCUCGUCCAUUGAACAGUAUCAGUAAGUACCAUUUUCUUUUGAUCUUCCUCUAGAUACUUUAUACAGUAGCUCACAACUUUCUUGGACAUGAGUUUUUCAAACCAUGGUAUUGUUGUACAAUUUCGAUGAAAUUCCUCUCUACAGGUAACAUUUCUACAUAUUAAUUUACAACGUUUAUUUUGACAAAGUGACUACAUUUGCUAUCUCACAUGUUCAUGGAAUUCUUCAGCAAAUUUGAUACUGCGGCUUGUCGUUUUCGUGGGCAGGGGUGCAUGCAACUUGCUAAUCACAACUGUCUUGGACAUGACUUUUUCAAACCAUGGUAUUGUUGUACAAUAUCGAUGAAAUUCCUCUCUACAGGUAACAUUUCUACAUAUUAAUGUACUACGUUCAUUUUUACAAAGUGACCAUAUUUGCUAUCUCACAUGUUCUGUGGGCGGGAGUGCAUGCAACUGCUAAUCAAAUAAAGCGAUGGGUUUUCAUGACAGAAUGCUCUGUACAUGAAUCACAUUCCAAAAGACCAUCUAAUGUUUUACUUGUAAUUAGGUUUUGGGCACAAACUGCUGGUCAUGAUUUAUAUCUACCAAUCAGCCAUAACCUUGUUGUAUCGAUGGUGAGUUAACGACGGCAGCACUCUUCUACACAUUAUUUCUUUGCAAGCAAUAUUGGCUGUCGUAUUAUACAUGUUUAUAACAUAAUAUUUCUAGCAGCAUACUUUCUGCAAAUUAAUAUAACGUUUCAAAAAGUAGAAGGUACUUUAUUGUCCUCGUAUGGAUAAGAAAAACCCAUUUCUCAUAUUAAAUAAGCAAACUCAUACCAAGAAUUUUGUAUGAUCAACUAUUUAACUGUAUACUAAUUGCAUCCCCAGUCCUGCUUAAGCUAUAAAGUGUAUUCCGGCCUAAUUUAUUUACAAGAAAAAGUUAAAUAGAUCGGUUAUGACUCGUCACCAGGUUUGGUUCCACUUAAUAAGACAAUGUGACUCAAUUUGUGAGGACUGAUGGAGCUUUAUUCUUGUCCAACUGUACAUAUGACAUGAUUGGUACCACUUAAUAAUUAAUAUGACAAUAUGACUCAUUAUUGGACGACUGUUAGAGUUACAUUUUGUCAAAUUGUAUAUACAUUGUACGACAUGCACAUUCAAGGUCUGUUAUUAACCUUGCAUAGUUGUGAAUUGUUUUUCAUAUAUUGUGGUGGAUAUUUCUAAAAAUAUUUAAUCUUUUAUCUUAUAUUGGUAUGCUUCCGUGUUUCCGGAAAUUACAUCUGAUACUAUACUUUUUGGGUAUAAUAUAUCUUUCAAUGCAAGAGACUCUAAUUUCAGGGUGAUGGGGAGAAGAUUCAGAUCCUUGAGUAUGGUCAUGGUACGAGGGAGAAUGAUCCUUACCACAUGAAUCCUCCUUGUACUGCUUUUAUUUAUAAUCUCCUUCUACUUUAUAAGCAUAUGGAACUAUUUAAAUAAUAAGUUAUGUUUUCUCAUUUGUUUCAGGACGAGUGUAUGUAAUAUGAGUUUUUUAAAAAACUAAUUACGUAAUUUAAUUUGCACGUUGGUUUCUUUAAUAUCAUUGAGAGAGAAAAUGACUGAAAUGAAUCAUAUUUGGGGGGCAGAAACAACAGAAAAUUUGGACUACUAUUAACUUAUGAACAUAGACAAUACAUUCGCCAAAAACGUGCUACUGUUGCUUCUCAAAAGUGGGCUGAAUUUUCAAGUUUCCGGGUUCUAUGUUCAUUCACUCUGAUACUGAUUUGAAUCUUGUGUUUCAUAGAGACUGUUGAUAAACUCAAGCGGAAAGUCUUUAUCCAUUGUACAGAUUGGGAAAUAAAUUGGACAUACCACCACGUAAGUCUGCGGGUCUUCUAAAUUUCUUCUUUCAAAUCCUCAUUGCAGACACCUUUUAUGCUCUCAUAUUAAGGUUCAGACACACACACACACAGACUAGUGCAGGCUCAUAUACUAUAUAUAUGUAUAUUUAAUGGGAAACAAAUGUUAUAUAUCUUUGCUCACCACCUAGAAAAAGAAUUUGUGGUUUCUAUUGAGAAAUGAUUUUUGAGUGCUUGUGGUAUUUGGUGUAAAUACUAAAGAUGUUAGUCUGGUCCCAACUUCACUCCAGUGAUUAGCCGGCUACCUCUUUUACUUCAUAUAUGUAUUAUUUAAACUCUUUAUUUACAGCUCUCUCCUUUUGCGUCGAAUACUGAUCUAAUACUUUCUGCAAUUAAUCAUUUGCAAGUUGGGGAACAAACAAGGCUUGAAUUAUCCAGAUUUUGGCUCACAUCAAUGCCUCACAUCGUAAAGAAACUUAUACUGCAACAUAUAUGGAGAAGAUCCGCUUAAAGCUUUGGACAGAACUAUAUAGCGAUUUUGAGGUAAUUUAAACUAGCGGGCUUUUGUCUAUUUGCUUAUCUGGUACUAUCUUCAUAUAUCCUGAUUAUGAAAGAUAAUCCUUUUAUUGGCAUUAGAUAAUCAACCAGAAGGCAGCUUUAUUAUUGGAGUCCAGUAUCAGCUGAAUGUGAUGCAUAUUUGGCAAACGAAGCGACAAAAAUGUUAACAGCAAACAAGUUAGUUCUCAAAGAAAUUUCUUGCACCAGUUCUUUUAUGAUUUUAUUAUAUAUAAUUCCUUUUAUUUUUUGAAAGGGGAUCUUAGAAUUGUUUUUCGCCUUUGCUUACAUAAGAGAGAGAAGUAAAUCUUGGAAAUCGAUUAGUGACAAAUGACAAGAAUAUUAGAAGUAAAAGAUGUGGGGAAAAGUAUAUCUCCCAUUGCUGGAGAGUCCUCAUUAUAUAUAUUAAUCAUUAAACAGUAUCUGUAAGUCCCAUUUUCUUUUGACCUACCUAUAGAUCCUUUAUACAGUAGCUCAAAAUUGUCCUGGGCAGGUCCUUUUUCGAACCACGGAAACCUAUAUUGUUGUACAAUUUCGAUGAAGUUCCUCUCAUUUCUCAUAUUAAAUAAGCAAACUCAUACCAAGAAUUUUGUAUGAUCAAUUAUUUAACUGUAUACUAAUUGCAUCCCCAGUCCUGCUUAAGCUAUAAAGUGUAUUCCGGACUAAUUUAUUUACAAGAAAAAAUUAUAUAGAUCGGUACCACUAAUAUGACAAUAUGACUCGUUACCAAGUUUGGUACCACUUAAUAAGACAAUGUGACUCAAUUUUUGAGGACUGAUGGAACUUUAUUCUUGUCCAACUGUACAUAUGACAUGAUUGGAACCACUUAAUAAUUAAUAUGACAAUAUGACUCAUGUUCGAGGACUGUUAGAGCUACAUUUUGUCAAAUUGUAUAUAUAUUGUACAACAUGCACAUUCAAGGUCUGUUCCUAACCUCAUUUGCAUUGUUGUGAAUUGUUUUUCAUAUAUUGUGGUGUGAACUUCUAAAAAUAUUUAAUCUUCUAUCUUAUAUUGGUAUGCUUCCAUGUUUCCGGAAAUUACAUCUGAUACUAUACUUUUUGGGUGUAAUAUAUCUUUCAAUGCAAGAGACUCUAAUUACAGGGUGAUGGGGAGAAGAUUCAGAUCCUUGAGUAUGGUCAUGGUACGAGGGAGAAUGAUCCUUACCACACGAAUCCUCCUUGUACUGCUUUUAUUUAUAAUCUCCUUCUACUUUAUAAGCAUAUGGAACUAUUUAAAUAAUAAGUUAUGUUUUCUCAUUUGUUUUAGGACGAGUGUAUGUAAUAUGAGUUCUUUUAAAAACUAAUUACGUAAUUUAAUUUGCACGUUGGUUUCUUUAAUAUCAUCAUUAAGAGAGAACAUGAACGAAAUGAAUCAUAUUUGGGGGGCAGAAACAACAGAAAAUUUGGACUACUAUUAACUUAUGAACAUAGACAAAACAUUCGCCAAAAAGGUGCUACUGUUGCUUCUCAAAAGUGGGCUGAAGUUUCAAGUUUCCGGGUUCUCUGUUCAUUCACUCUGAUACUGAUUUGAAUCUUGUUGUGUUUCAUAGAUACUGUUCAUAAACUCAAGCGGAAAGUCUUUAUCUAUUGUACAGAUUGGGAAAUAAAUUGGACAUACCACCACGUAAGUCUGCUGAUCUUCUAAAUUUCUUCUUUCAAAUCCUCAUUGCAGACACCUUUUAAGCUCUCAUAUUGAGGUUCAUAUUGAGGUGCUACUGUUGCUUCUCAAAAGUGGGCUGAAGUUUCAAGUUUCCGGUUUCUCUGUUCAUUCACUCUGAUACUGAUUUGAAUCUUGUUGUGUUUCAUAGAUACUGUUCAUAAACUCAAGCGGAAAGUCUUUAUCUAUUGUACAGAUUGGGAAAUAAAUUGGACAUACCACCACGUAAGUCUGCUGAUCUUCUAAAUUUCUUCUUUCAAAUCCUCAUUGCAGACACCUUUUAAGCUUUCAUAUUGAGGUGCUACUGUUGCUUCUCAAAAGUGGGCUGAAGUUUCAAGUUUCCGGUUUCUCUGUUCAUUCACUCUGAUACUGAUUUGAAUCUUGUUGUGUUUCAUAGAUACUGUUGAUAAACUCAAGCAAAAAGUCUUUAUGUACUGUACAGAUUGGGAAAUAAAUUGGACAUACGACCACGUAAGUCUGCUGAUCUUCUAAAUUUCUUCUUUCAAAUCCUCAUUGCAGACACCUUUUAUGCUCUCAUAUUGAGGUUCAUACACACACAUACACACACACUAGUGCAGGCUCUUAUACUAUAUAUAUGUAUAUUUAAUGGGAAACAAAUGUUAUAUAUCUUUGCGCACCACCUAAAAAGAGAUUUUGUGGUUGCUACUUAGAAAUGAUUUUUGAAUGCUUGUGGUAUUUGGUGUAAAUACUAAAGAUGUUAGUCUAGUCCCACUGGUGAAGAAGGUUUUCAUGCAUCCUCUCUCCAUGUUAUUCUAAUUGUACUUCUACAUUUUAUCAAUCUGGCAUAUCAUGAGCAAAGAAUUACAACUAAUGGAGUCGCCAGCUCGAGUUUUUCUGCUGGCGCCAUACAAUUUAGUGGCAUCUUGGCUACUGAGUAUACUAAUUUGAAUGUCAAACCUCAGAAUUCAGGGCUGGAAGAAUAUCUUCGCAAUUGGUAAUAUUACAGAUCGUAAGGUACUUUUGCACUUCUUGUUCAAUUUUAUACCACCUCCGUUCCAACAUACGUUUUGCUUUUCACUUCUUAAAUUAUUUGGACCAAAUAAUUUAAAUGUUCAGUUAAUAAUAUUCAAUACAAUUGUUGUGGAUAUAUAAUCCCUGUCUGUCCACGUGAUUUGUUCAAUGCUUUAAGAGGUUUAACUGCCUCAGUUCUGUAAAGAGUCUAAUCUUGUAUAAUUGCAUUUGUAGUCAACUGAAACAAUAAUCAUAAUGUAGGAAAUGACACAGGGGUGUCUGACACAAAAAACAUUCUCUGCAGUUUGUGGAGAAGAACAUCAAAUAUAUUAAUGUCAGUAGAAAAUGAAGAUAAAAUAUUAAAUUACGAGCCUCCUUCAGAGGCCAUUGCUAUUGUUACAAAAAUAAUAUAAGAAGGAGAUCCACAACGAUCUUCUGUAUGGUACUUUGCAUAUCGUUCGUCCAGACAUAUAUUGAAGCAAUGAUAAAAAAUAACUCUAACUCAAACGCAGUUGAUAAAAGUACAGUUGCAAAGGUGGGAUGGUAAAUGUCUUGUACACUUUUUUUAAUUUACAAUUAUCUAACCAUAAAGCUCAGAGUUAUUUACUUCACAUGUAUGCAGUAAAUGCGAUAAAGGAUGCACCAUAGUCUACAAGCUGGCCUCCGGGGAACUGUUUGUCGGACCAAAACUUAAGCCGCUUCAGGUAAAUUUUUUACCCAUAAUUUAUUUUAGUUUAGUUUUGAAUUCAUAUAUUCCGUACUCCUGUCCGUAUAGUUUAUGCUGUCUGAAGAUCUCAGGAGCAGGACUAUGUGGCUGGGCUAGCCCGGUUUCACCUCUCGAGGUAGUCCCUAAAAGUUCAUAAUAAGAUAGAAGAAUCGAGCUUCUUUAGUAUGGUUUCGUAAAUCCUCCUUUCUUUAUAAUUAUGUGCCAAGCACAGUCAUCUUGGUUUUGCACAUUAAUGGAACUAACAGAAGGCAUUGGGCUGAUCGUUUGGGCUUCUGUAAGCAUUAUUUGAGUUUCACUAUAGCUUUUUUUCUCAAAGUUCUAGCACAUCUAACGAAUUGUGUAUAAUCAGGUAAGAUUGUUUGGGAUUCUGUAAGCAUUAUUUGAGUUUUACAUAUGUUACUCCGACUCGGGUACGGAGUGUCGGACACGACAGAUAUCCGAGUGUCGGACUUGGGAACUAUGAAAAUUGGGGACACGGGGACACUGUCCUAUUUUUGGACACGGGUACGGGGACACAUCGUAAUAUACUAAUAAACAAGUAUGGUAAGUUAGACAUCUUAACAAAAAGUAACAAAUAAACUCAUAUUAAACAUGAUUUUGUAGGGAUUUUGCAAAUCAGGCGUCUUUUUUACUUAAAUCCCACUCUUGCUUCUUUCUUUUUUCUCACAUAUUUCUUUUGAAUUGUAAGUUUUACUCAUAUUUGAUUUUAAAAUUGGUCAAAGUGUCCACAUUUUAGUCAAAGGAUCCGACACGAAAUAAGUGUCGUGUCCGAGUGUCCAAGUGUCAGACAGGCAACCUAAAUAGAAGAGUCGGAGUAGUAAAACUUUUACUACAGCUUUUUUUUUCCCUCAAAGUUCUAGCACAUCUAACGAAUUGUGUAUAAUCAGGUAAGAGAGGAUGUGCUCCGCUAGCAUUUGACUGUAUCAAGAAUGGUGGGGGAGUAGAUUCAGCACAUUUUUUGGAAUACAAACAAUAUACACUGUUCUAUAUUGGCAAUGGUUUAUUACACUGCACAGCACUUUGGUUGAAAUCCCAUUUGAGUAAUAGGAUAUCAAAUAUCUGUCAAAAGGUAAGGGCUCUGCUAUCUAUUAAACUGCAGGUUAAAUGACAGGGAAUAAUACACUGAAAGAUUUGAGAGGUGGGAAGGUAAGAUGCAGAAGUUACAUAACCAAAGGUGAAUUUUAUUUCAUUUAUCUUCCGAACAGAGAAUCAGCCAAGCUAGUUCCUUUACUAACAUAUACAGACCAAUUUGUCUUGUAAUCUUAAUUACUUAAAUUGGGUUAUUUUGGCAUAAUUGCAUCUAAUAACUGUUUGAAUCUUUACUUUAGUUUUUAUUAGAGCUUAAGCAUCUUGAGAAUUUUGAUGGGUCGUUAACUUUUAGCUGGUAUUGUGUUGAUUUUCCUAGUCCAUCUUGACAUUCGUGGUCAUGAAGAUGAAGAUGAAGCUACGUGUUAGUCAUCUGGGAAUCUUUAAUUAUGUUUUCACUCAACCUCUAUCUUAAUGCAGGUGCUUGGAUGUUGCGGAAGGAGUUAUGUCUUACAGAGGGCAGAUUGCAGUUAUACAUAUAAAUAGCGACGGUAGUGAAGAAGGGGCAACAUUUCUAAAGAUUCCCUAACCAUCUGCUGAACCAGAAACUCUGAUGGUUGGGAUGAGUUUAAAGCAACUAAAAUUUUUAACCAUUUAUCGAGGAGUAAUCUUUUAUAUUCGUUACAUGGUAAUAUAAAUGUAGAACUAGUAAAUGAUUAUGAUUGGUAUGAGUAGGAAACAAGCCAGUCAAGCAUGCAUGAAUCUAUUGAAUAAGCUUUAGAAAAUUCUGGUCUAAGUGGAAUAGGGGAUGGAUGUCACCCAAUGAGAUUGAGUGUAAUCUGGUUAAACACUAACAUUGGUCAGGAAAAGUGCUCCCUGUGAAAAGUCUUGAUUAAGAUACAGAACCCGACUGAGCAACAAGUGAUUAAAAGUGUGUCCUGCAGUGUAUAUUUCUACUUCAGUUUAUCCCAGAGAUGUUUUCCUUUUUGCAUUUUAUUUCUUUUUCCAGUUUCUUUGAGUUUGUCACUUGUUCUCACAUAAAUUUACUCUGUGCAGUUGCAGAAGAUAGAGUAGGUUGAAGAACAUGCAUAAUUGCAUAUGCUGUUUCGGAACUUGUAGCAUUUAAUUCUGGUCCAUAUACCCUUUAGUUGCAAGCAUGAGGACCUACCACCAAAUGGCGGCAGUUAUUUUCCUCGGCCAUUGAACGGUAUCAGUAAGUCCCAUUUUCUUUUGAUCUGCCUCUAGAUACUUUAUAGUAGCUGACAACUUUCUUGGACAUGAC
rnacentral:lncRNA from 1 species